AAAUUGAAGAGUUUGAUCAUGGCUCAGAUUGAACGCUGGCGGCAGGCCUAACACAUGCAAGUCGAACGGUAACAGGAAGCAGCUUGCUGCUUUGCUGACGAGUGGCGGACGGGUGAGUAAUGUCUGGGAAACUGCCUGAUGGAGGGGGAUAACUACUGGAAACGGUGGCUAAUACCGCAUAACGUCGCAAGACCAAAGAGGGGGAUCUUCGGGCCUCUUGCCAUCAGAUGUGCCCAGAUGGGAUUAGCU
rnacentral:rRNA from 3 species